AGGGAAUAUUGGGCAAUGGGCGGGAGCCUGACCCAGCCAUGCCGCGUGCAGGAAGAAGGCGUUAUGCGUUGUAAACUGCUUUUAUACGGGAAGAAAAGGCCCAUGCGUGGGACAUUGCCGGUACCGUAUGAAUAAGCACCGGCUAACUCCGUGCCAGCAGCCGCGGUAAUACGGAGGGUGCAAGCGUUGUCCGGAUUUAUUGGGUUUAAAGGGUGCGUAGGCGGCCCGUUAAGUCAGCGGUGAAAGUCUGUGGCUCAACCAUAGAAGCGCCGUUGAUACUGAUGGGCUUGAGUGCCGUAUGGGUACAUGGAAUUGAUGGUGUAGCGGUGAAAUGCAUAGAUACCAUCAGGAACACCGAUAGCGUAGGCAUUGUACUGUGCGGCAACUGACGCUGAGGCACGAAAGCAUGGGUAGCGAAC
rnacentral:rRNA from 1 species